rnacentral:rRNA from 1 species
AUUGAACGCUGGCGGCAGGCUUAACACAUGCAAGUCGAGCGAGCGGCGGACGGGUGAGUAAUGUCUGGGAAACUGCCUGAUGGAGGGGGAUAACUACUGGAAACGGUAGCUAAUACCGCAUACAAUCAGAUGUGCCCAGAUGGGAUUAGCUAGUAGGUGGGGUAAUGGCUCACCUAGGCGACGAUCCCUAGCUGGUCUGAGAGGAUGACCAGCCAUACUGGAACUAAGACACGGUCCAGACACCUACGGUAGGAAGCAGUGGGGAAUAUUGCACAAUGGGCGCAAGCCUGAUGCAGCCAUGCCGCGUGUGGGAAGAAGGCCUUCGGGUUGUAAAGCACUUUCAGCGAGUAGGCGUUACUCGCAGAAGAAGCACCGACUAACUCCGUGCCAGCCGCCGCGGUAAUUC